rnacentral:lncRNA from 1 species
AAUACAAUUCUGGGAAUGUUCAGGCUCUCUCUGUUCUUUCCUCUCUUGCAAACCAUGGGCACCCUUGGGUCCCUUGGGGUCACUAUGUUACACCUGCUUUUUAUCUGUCUGGGCAAGAGCUGCUCAAGCCACACCUUGUGACACUGAGAUCAGCUAUGAAAAUACCCAGCCGGCCUGCAGCCCUCCCGGCAGAUGCUGAAAAGGAAACCCGACUGGGAGAUGCCGCCCACCCUUGUCCCCAGAGAGCUGCGUUGUUUCCUCCUGCCUCGGCCUUUGGAUCCGGCCACAGCAAGCAUCCCUGGGCACCUGGCUGAAGCUGGAAACUCGGGAUAAGAAUGGAAGCCCUGGAAGGGAAGAAGAACCGAGGAGUGAGCUUGCCCUGAGGACAGCACAUCGCACUCUCACCUCCUUUGCAGUUAAGUGUGAAAUAGUGCCAAUAGAGUGUGAAAGAAAAGAAAGAAGAUGAUUCACCUCCCAAAGAUUCCCCACUGCUGUGUCCCUUCUAUCAACUUGAUACAAAAAAACACAAUGGCCCCGGGAACCACGUGUUGAAGAUGAGAGAGCUAAAAGAUGGAAAGAGACUGGAGCCCUGAGUCACCACCUGGAGGAAAACUACCCACC